UUACGGACAUAUCACGUUGAAACACCGAUUCCAGUACGAUUACUGAAGUUAAGCAACGUUGAACAUGUUAAGUACCUAGAUGGGUGACCGCUUGGGAAUGCAAGGUGCUGUGA